rnacentral:rRNA from 1 species
UACGAGGGGGGCGAGCGUUGUUCGGAAUUAUUGGGCGUAAAGGGCUCGUAGGCGGCGUGUCGCGUCGGGGAGUGAAAGCCCGCUGCUUAACGGCGGGUUGGCUUCCGGUACGGGCAUCGCUGGAGUGCGGCAGGGGAGACUGGAAUUCCUGGUGUAGCGGUGGAAUGCGCAGAUAUCAGGAGGAACACCGGUGGCGAAGGCGGGUCUCUGGGCCGUUACUGACGCUGAGGAGCGAAAGCGUGGGGAGCGAACAGG